AAUAAAAUUAAAAAAAAAAAAUCUCAAAAUUUUUUUAACACGUAAUCCCUUUCCCUUUUUUUUUGGGUUUCUUCCCACGUACAGGAUUAAACGCGGCGGCGUGCCUAAUACAUGCAAGUCGAACGAGUUCUCGUUGAUGAUCGGUGCUUGCACCGAGAUUCAACAUGGAACGAGUGGCGGACGGGUGAGUAACACGUGGGUAACCUGCCCUUAAGUGGGGGAUAACAUUUGGAAACAGAUGCUAAUACCGCAUAGAUCCAAGAACCGCAUGGUUCUUGGCUGAAAGAUGGCGUAAGCUAUCGCUUUUGGAUGGACCCGCGGCGUAUUAGCUAGUUGGUGAGGUAAUGGCUCACCAAGGCGAUGAUACGUAGCCGAACUGAGAGGUUGAUCGGCCACAUUGGGACUGAGACACGGCCCAAACUCCUACGGGAGGCAGCAGUAGGGAAUCUUCCACAAUGGACGCAAGUCUGAUGGAGCAACGCCGCGUGAGUGAAGAAGGCUUUCGGGUCGUAAAACUCUGUUGUUGGAGAAGAAUGGUCGGCAGAGUAACUGUUGUCGGCGUGACGGUAUCCAACCAGAAAGCCACGGCUAACUACGUGCCAGCAGCCGCGGUAAUACGUAGGUGGCAAGCGUUAUCCGGAUUUAUUGGGCGUAAAGCGAGCGCAGGCGGUUUUUUAAGUCUGAUGUGAAAGCCCUCGGCUUAACCGAGGAAGCGCAUCGGAAACUGGGAAACUUGAGUGCAGAAGAGGACAGUGGAACUCCAUGUGUAGCGGUGAAAUGCGUAGAUAUAUGGAAGAACACCAGUGGCGAAGGCGGCUGUCUGGUCUGUAACUGACGCUGAGGCUCGAAAGCAUGGGUAGCGAACAGGAUUAGAUACCCUGGUAGUCCAUGCCGUAAACGAUGAAUGCUAGGUGUUGGAGGGUUUCCGCCCUUCAGUGCCGCAGCUAACGCAUUAAGCAUCCGCCUGGGAGACUCGAGGUGG
rnacentral:rRNA from 1 species